rnacentral:rRNA from 1 species
CGCGUAGGCGGCCUUUGAAGUCAGGCGUGAAAGCCCCGGGCUCAACCUGGGAACUGCGCUUGAUACUCUUGGGCUUGAGUUCGGGAGAGGAGAGUGGAAUUCCCAGUGUAGAGGUGAAAUUCGUAGAUAUUGGGAAGAACACCGGUGGCGAAGGCGGCUCUCUGGACCGAAACUGACGCUGAGGCGCGAAAGCGUGGGGAGCAAACAGGAUUAGAUACCCUGGUAGUCCACGCUGUAAACGAUGUGUGCUAGACGUUGGGGGGCCUAGCCCUCCGGUGUCGCCGCUAACGCUUUAAGCACACCGCCUGGGGAGUACGGCCGCAAGGUUAAA